UACGGAGGGUGCAAGCGUUAAUCGGAAUUACUGGGCGUAAAGCGUGCGUAGGCGGUUCGUUAAGUCUGUUGUGAAAGCCCCGGACUCAACCUGGGAAUGGCAAUGGAUACUGGCGAGCUAGAGUGUAUCAGAGGAUGAUGGAAUUCCCGAUGUAACGGUGAAAUGCGUAGAGAUCAAGAGGAACAUCAGUGGCGAAGGCGACCAUCUAGGACAACACUGACGCUGAAGCACGAAAGCAUGGGGAGCAAACAGG
rnacentral:rRNA from 1 species